rnacentral:rRNA from 1 species
AGCGAACGCUGGCGGCAGGCUUAACACAUGCAAGUCGAACGCCCCGCAUGGGGAGUGGCAGACGGGUGAGUAACACGUGGGAACGUACCCUUUGGUUCGGAAUAACUUGGGGAAACUCAAGCUAAUACCGGAUAAGCCCUUAUGGGGAAAGGUUUACUGCCGAAGGAUCGGCCCGCGUCUGAUUAGCUAGUUGGUGAGGUAAUGGCUCACCAAGGCGACGAUCAGUAGCUGGUCUGAGAGGAUGAUCAGCCACACUGGGACUGAGACACGGCCCAGACUCCUACGGGAGGCAGCAGUGGGGAAUAUUGGACAAUGGGGGCAACCCUGAUCCAGCCAUGCCGCGUGAGUGAUGAAGGCCUUAGGGUUGUAAAGCUCUUUUACCCGGGACGAUAAUGACUGUACCGGGAGAAUAAGCCCCGGCUAACUUCGUGCCAGCAGCCGCGGUAA